GACGAACGCUGGCGGCGUGCUUAACACAUGCAAGUCGAACGGACCGAGUUGAUAGCUUGCUAUUGAUGAGGUUAGUGGCAAACGGGUGAGUAACGCGUAGGCAACCUGCCCUUCAGAUGGGGACAACACCUCGAAAGGGGUGCUAAUACCGAAUGACGUUUCCUAGUCGCAUGACCUGGAAACCAAAGGCCGGGCAACCGGUCACUGAAGGAUGGGCCUGCGUCUGAUUAGCUAGUUGGUGGGGUAAACGGGCCCACCAAAGGCGACGAUCAGUAGCCGGUCUGAGAGGAUGAACGGCACAUUGGGACUGAGACACGGCCCAAAACUCCUACGGGAGGCAGCAGUGGGGAAUAUUGCACAAUGGGGGAAACCCUGAUGCAG
rnacentral:rRNA from 1 species